UACGAAGGACCCAAGCGUUAUCCGGAUUUAUUGGGUUUAAAGGGUGCGUAGGCGGAUUAUUAAGUCAGUGGUGAAAGCCUGCAGCUUAACUGCAGAAUUGCCAUUGAUACUGAUGAUCUUGAGUAUGAUUGAGGUGGGCGGAAUGUGUCAUGUAGCGGUGAAAUGCUUAGAUAUGACACAGAACACCGAUUGCGAAGGCAGCUCACUAAGCCAUAACUGACGCUGAGGCGCGAAAGCGUGGGGAGCAAACAGG
rnacentral:rRNA from 1 species